GUUUGAGUUUCCUGAGACCUACAGCAAAUUCCCAUUGGCUACCUACUUUACAUAUGAGUUGCCCUACUUGAGGCCAAGGAGCCAGGCUUUGUAUCUCCCAUCAGUCACUGGCCACCUGCUGGAGGUGGGGGUCCUUUUGGAGGACAGAUUAAAAUGGGUGAUGAUUGACCCUGCUGUCUUAGAAUGACCCUGGAGAACUUCAAGAGUGUCUUCUACCUGUUCACACAUGAAAACUAUUGAGAUUGGAGAUCCUUGAGCAUAUAUAUUCCAAGUGUGGACCCUUGUCAUCUAAGGAAAAUGGACCUCUUAAAAGCAGCGAAGGAACAACGAUGAUUAUGGAGGAGAAUCCUAAUUUAGCAUGUAAGAGAGCACCUGUGGCUUUAUUCAACUGCUGCUGUUGGCAAUGAAGAUACAAUAAUCAUGCAAUUUAUUAGAAGCUUUAUUAGGAAUGACCACGGCUUCCCUGGCGGCUCCGGAGGCAUUGUGACCUUGGACACCUGGAAGAUGGCAGAGCUGCCAUCAGCCUGGGUUCCUGAAUGGCCACAGGAAUCCAAGCUGCCUGCUGGCUGAAAUGCUGACCUUGGGUUGUUAGAAUAGGGGGUCCAGAAGAAGAGAAGAGGUCACCUUGCCAGCAGCACGGAUGAAGGACAGCAAAAUGGGUGGAGAAGGCUCAACGUAAGUGAUGGUAUCACAGGUUAGAUGGAAAAAAAGAAAGGUAACCUGUAGCAUGUGCCAAGUUUAUGAAGACAUCAUGCUAAGCAACUUACAUGCACUAUAUCUCAUCUCAUCCCAAUAAUGACUUUACAAGAUAGGUGUUAUGAUUGCUUUCAUUUUGUUGAAGCUGAGAGCUAUGUGUCAUUUUCACCAGGUAAUGGAACUAGUAAAUGACAGAACAAGAAUUUCGACAUGGUUUCAUACAACUCCCAGUCUAACUCUUUAUACCAUACCCUAGCACCAUUUUGGAAAAAAAAGCAAAAAAACAAAAAACCUCUGUUGAUCCUCAAAACUAUUGUUAUUUUUCUUAUUAUGACUUGGUAA